CCGAGUUUACAACUCCCAAACCCCUGUGAACUUAUACCUUUUACCGUUGCUUCGGCGGGUUCUCGCCCCGGAACAGGUUCUUCCUGCCCGGAACCAGGCGCCCGCCGGGGGACCUAAACUCUUGUAUUUUUUACAUUUACAUGUCUGAGUGGAAUCAUAUCAAAUGAAUCA
rnacentral:misc_RNA from 1 species